ACCACGAAGCAAAUGAUGAUAAACUGGAACUGACAAGCUAUGCUGAGUUUGUUCAAUCCAACCCUGAGCUUCGUGUU
ensembl:snoRNA SNORD69 small nucleolar RNA, C/D box 69